rnacentral:rRNA from 1 species
UACCGGCGCCUCAAGUGGUAGUCGCUUUUAUUGGGCCUAAAACGUCCGUAGCCGGUCUGAUACAUUCGUGGGUAAAUCAACCAGCUCAACUGGUUGAAUUCUGCGAGGACGGUCAGACUUGGGACCGGGAGAGGUGUGGGGUACGCUCAGGGUAGGGGUAAAAUCCUGUCAUCCUGAGCGGACCACCUGUUGCGAAGGCGCCACACUAGAACGGAUCCGACGGUCAGGGACGAAGCCUAGGGGCACGAACCGG